rnacentral:rRNA from 1 species
GAUGAACGCUGGCGGCGUGCCUAAUACAUGCAAGUCGAGCGAACAGACGAGGAGCUUGCUCCUUUGACGUUAGCGGCGGACGGGUGAGUAACACGUGGAUAACCUACCUAUAAGACUGGGAUAACUUCGGGAAACCGGAGCUAAUACCGGAUAACAUGUUGAACCGCAUGGUUCAACAGUGAAAGACGGUUUUGCUGUCACUUAUAGAUGGAUCCGCGCCGCAUUAGCUAGUUGGUAAGGUAACGGCUUACCAAGGCGACGAUGCGUAGCCGACCUGAGAGGGUGAUCGGCCACACUGGAACUGAGACACGGUCCAGACUCCUACGGGAGGCAGCAGUAGGGAAUCUUCCGCAAUGGGCGAAAGCCUGACGGAGCAACGCCGCGUGAGUGAAGAAGGUCUUCGGAUCGUAAAACUCUGUUAUUAGGGAAGAACAAAUGUGUAAGUAACUAUGCACGUCUUGACGGUACCUAAUCAGAAAGCCACGGCUAACUACGUG